AUCUCAGCGCAGUGGCAGUAUCGUAGCCUAUGAGCGUUAUCCGAGGCGCGAUUAUUGCUAGUUGAUAUACUGAUAUUCCUACCUUAAAUCUUUCCUGCGUUUAUUGUUGUGUGUGUGUGUUUCAGGAACCUGAUCGG